rnacentral:rRNA from 1 species
UACGUAGGGGGCUAGCGUUGUCCGGAUUUAUUGGGCGUAAAGAGCGUGUAGGCGGCCAGGUAGGUCUGCUGUGAAAACUCGAGGCUCAACCUCGAGACGUCGGCGGAAACCAUCUGGCUAGAGUCCGGAAGAGGAGAGUGGAAUUCCUGGUGUAGCGGUGAAAUGCGCAGAUAUCAGGAGGAACACCGAUUGCGAAGGCAGCUCGCUGGGACGUAACUGACGCUGAGACGCGAAAGCGUGGGGAGCAAACAGG